rnacentral:rRNA from 1 species
AACGAACGCUGGCGGCAUGCCUAACACAUGCAAGUCGAACGAGAUCUUCGGGUCUAGUGGCGCACGGGUGCGUAACGCGUGGGAAUCUGCCCUUUGGUUCGGAAUAACAGUUGGAAACGACUGCUAAUACCGGAUGAUGACGAAAGUCCAAAGAUUUAUCGCCAGAGGAUGAGCCCGCGUAGGAUUAGCUAGUUGGUGUGGUAAAGGCGCACCAAGGCGACGAUCCUUAGCUGGUCUGAGAGGAUGAUCAGCCACACUGGGACUGAGACACGGCCCCGAGUCCUACGGGAGGCAGCAGUGGGGAAUAUUGGACAAUGGGCGAAAGCCUGAUCCAGCAAUGCCGCGUGGGUGAUGAAGGCCUUAGGGUUGUAAAGCUCUUUUACCCGGGAUGAUAAUGACAGUACCGGGAGAAUAAGCUCCGGCUAACUCCGUGCCAGCCGCCGCCGUAA